CGGUGGAGUAUGUGGUUUAAUUCGAUGCAACGCGAAGAACCUUACCAGGGUUUGACAUCCUGCGAACCCCCUGGAAACGGGGGGGUGCCUUCGGGAACGCAGUGACAGGUGGUGCAUGGCUGUCGUCAGCUCGUGUCGUGAGAUGUUGGGUUAAGUCCCGCAACGAGCGCAACCCACGUCGUUAGUUGCCAGCAUUCAGUUGGGCACUCUAGCGAGACCGCCGGUGAUAAACCGGAGGAAGGUGUGGAUGACGUCAAGUCAUCAUGCCCCUUACAUCCUGGGCUACACACGUACUACAAUGCUACGGACAAAGGGUUGCAAGCUCGCGAGAGUUAGCUAAUCCCAUAAACCGUGGCUCAGUUCAGAUCGUAGGCUGCAACUCGCCUACGUGAAGGAGGAAUCGCUAGUAAUCGCAGGUCAGCAUACUGCGGUGAAUACGUUCCCGGGCCUUGUACACACCGCCCGUCACACCAUGGAAGUUGGCCACGCCCGAAGUCGUUACUCCAACCCGUAAGGGAGGAGA
rnacentral:rRNA from 1 species